rnacentral:rRNA from 1 species
CAACGCCACGUGUGUGAUGAAGGUCUUCGGAUUGUAAAGCACUUUCGAACCGGGACGAAAACCCUGAGGCUAACAUCCUCAGGCUUGACGGUACCGGGAGAAGAAGCACCGGCUAACUCUGUGCCAGCAGCCGCGGUAAUACAGAGGGUGCAAGCGUUGUUCGGAAUUAUUGGGCGUAAAGCGCGUGUAGGCGGCUUUGCAAGUCGGGUGUGAAAGCCCUCAGCUCAACUGAGGAAGUGCGCCCGAAACUGCAGAGCUUGAGUGCCGGAGAGGGUGGCGGAAUUCCCCAAGUAGAGGUGAAAUUCGUAGAUAUGGGGAGGAACACCGGUGGCGAAGGCGGCCACCUGGACGGUAACUGACGCUGAGACGCGAAAGCGUGGGGAGCAAACAGGAUUAGAUACACUGGUAGUCCACGCCGUAAACGAUGAGAACUAGGUGUCGUGGGUGUUGACCCCCGCGGUGCCGUAGCUAACGCAUUAAGUUCUCCGCCUGGGAAGUACGGUCGCAAGACUA